GUUUUUAUAGUUUAAAUUUAAAACAUUGGUCUUGUAAAUCAAAAAUAAGGAUUCUUUAAAAACU
rnacentral:tRNA from 1 species